UACGUAGGUGGCAAGCGUUGUCCGGAUUUAUUGGGCGUAAAGCGAGCGCAGGCGGUUUCUUAAGUCUGAUGUGAAAGCCCCCGGCUCAACCGGGGAGGGUCAUUGGAAACUGGGAGACUUGAGUGCAGAAGAGGAGAGUGGAAUUCCAUGUGUAGCGGUGAAAUGCGUAGAUAUAUGGAGGAACACCAGUGGCGAAGGCGGCUCUCUGGUCUGUAACUGACGCUGAGGCUCGAAAGCGUGGGGAGCAAACAGGAUUAGAUACCCUGGUAGUCAAGGGCG
rnacentral:rRNA from 1 species